CCGAACUAGCUCGGCAGGGCUAUUACCUAAUUUGCAAUAGCAAAGCGAUCGCAAAAAUUGUACAAUUUUUGCUUUCAAAUGGCUAAAAACGUCAAAUUCGUAUUACCUAAGAGCAAAAACAAAGCGAUAGCAAAGCAAACGGUUUUUAACACAGUGCUGCCUCUGUCGAACAAUCGGUAAAGUAAAACAGCAUUCAAUCUCUAUAGACACAGCAGAUUUUGGUAUUACGUAUGAGUUUUAAGAGCGAUCGAAUAGCAAUCAGCGAACAAAUACAACUGUCAAAUAGCAAAUGGUAAAUCAGUGAUUGUUGGUCGAUCGCUCGCUGAUCGCUCAGUUCGUAACGCUGUUUAUUAAUAGUUUUAAGUUGAUUAUUAAGGGUUUUUGUUUCAAUUUGUGCCUAUUUGGAUAUGGCUAGUGCAUUUUUAUUGUUAGAAGCUAUGAAUGGGGAAACUAGAAAAGCGUAAGACAUCUACUUUGCGGCGCAAUCUUCGAGAUAAUGCCGAAGCUUUGGAUCUGCCUAAUAAUUAAAUGCCAAGAAUUGUGCGAUGAAUUAAGGCCUUAUAAGUCGCAAACACGCAGGAGAAAUUUGUGUUGAGUGUAAAGUGCAGUGGCGAAGCGUCCAUUCAACCCGAUUCCUAUCGGCUUCCCUUUUAGGUUUAUUUAUUACUGUCUUAGUGUUUGUUUUCUGUUAAAAAGGGCAGCGAUACAUUAACCAAGGCGAUUGUUUUUUUGCAUCGGGUUACCUUUUGAAAAAUUUCACCCUUCGCCACUGGUAAAGUGAGUAAAGCUAUUUUGGUAUUUCUGUUCCUAUAUACAUUGUCUAAUAAAUUAAUUAAUAGUCUUUACGAUUACAUUUUCCAUAACAGAUGCUAACAGUACUCUCCUUCACUAUAGGCUCAUACCAAAAACCUGCAGGUAUGAGCUAGUCACAUGUUCUGAGCCAACCUAAUGUGUCAAAUUUAGUAAAUAAGGUGAUGAAAGCUCUAAAUUCGAGAGAAAUCUUGAUGAGAUAUAUUUGUUUCCCUCAGUCAUGGCAGCAAAGAAAUAAUGACAUAUAUGGGUAUGGUCCUAAUUAUAUAAAAUUGUAUUUAAUUUAAAGUAAAAUUUACAAACUUCAUUUCUUUCAAUUUUUCAAACAAAUUUGGCUGUGUGGGUUGCAUUGAUUAACAUGCUGAAUAUUUUUUUAAUGGAAAGGAUUACCACAGUAUACAUGUUCAAGUUAUAUGUGACAGUGAUUCAAAUAUAAUUAAUGUGGAUGCAUCAUUUGGUGGGGUGAGUCAUGAUGCAUAUAAAUAAAGAUAUAGAAGAAGAUAGUAAUAACUAGGUGUCAGCUCCAUCACAAUCUGAUAAUAGGGAGCCUGAGGAGCUCCCAUUGUUAAGGGGCCAACAACACAGAAUUGUGCAAAGUUUGUAGUUGACUAGGAGAUAAUUUGAAUUUAAUUUUUGUAUUAAAUUAUUAAUCAAAUUCUAAACGGCAUUUUUAUUUAUAUAAAACAUGCUACUGUAUACAUGUAAGCACUAUGUACAUUUUAAAAACAAAAAUGUUAUUUAAUUAAUUACUCAAAUUAGUGUGUGAAAAUCUAAGUUUAUAAGAUUGUUAGCAGUAAGUUAAUUCUGGAAAUACUGAAUUCAUUUUUUAAAUUCUAUUACCAGUAGAAAGCUACAUUA